AGCCAUCGCCUGGAGGGCAUCCAGUGUCUGUUAUCACUCACCUUAGGUAGUCUGUGAAGGUCCAGUCAUCACUGGUGCACGUGUAUCUUACCUGUGAUCAACACCGGCAGCCACAGACUCCUGCCUAAUGAACGAACACAGUGAUCAUGAUGACAUUGACAACAACGAGCAAGUCCUCCUAGACCUAGAGUGACCUCAAGCUGGGCCAAACAUGAUGUGGAAGAAGAAAUCGGUUGUCUCCAUCAGUCGGGUUUGUGCCAAGGCAGCUUUCUCCAGCUGUCCG